AACGCACAUUGCGCCUCCUGGUACUCCGGGAGGCAUGCCUGUCCGAGCGUCAUUAUAACCCUCUCAAGCUUCAUUGCUUGGUGUUGGGGCAGGACCGUCCACUCGCGGCGGUCCGCCCAGAAUUGCAAUGGCAGACGAUGGUGUCGACGUCAGCGUAGUGAGCAUUUUUGCGUCGCGAAGCGUAGUCACCCGUCCCGCCCAGAUAAACCCUUCAAUUCUAAGUGUUGACCUCGGAUCAGGUAGGGAUACCCGCUGAACUUAA
rnacentral:misc_RNA from 1 species